rnacentral:rRNA from 1 species
GAUGAACGCUAGCAGCAGGCCUAAUACAUGCAAGUCGAGCGGACCGGAUUGGGGCUUGCCUUGAUUCGGUCAGCGGCGGACGGGUGAGUAACACGUGGGCAACCUGCCCGCGAGACCGGGAUAACUCCGGGAAACCGGAGCUAAUACCGGAUAACACCGAAGACCGCAUGGUCUUCGGUUGAAAGGCGGCCUUUGGGCUGUCACUUGCGGAUGGGCCCGCGGCGCAUUAGCUAGUUGGUGAGGUAACGGCUCACCAAGGCGACGAUGCGUAGCCGGCCGGAGAGGGUGACCGGCCACACUGGGACUGAGACACGGCCCAGACUCCUACGGGAGGCAGCAGUAGGGAAUCUUCCGCAAUGGGCGAAAGCCUGACGGAGCGACGCCGCGUGAGCGAAGAAGGCCCUCGGGUCGUAAAGCUCUGUUGUGAGGGACGAAGGAGCGUCGUUCGAAGAGGGCGGCGCGGUGACGGUACCUCACGAGAAAGCCCCGGCUAACUACGUGCCAGCCGCCGCGGUAA